GACAGAGGGUGCGAGCGUUGUUCGGAAUUACUGAGCGUAAAGCGCGCGCAGGCGGAUCCUGCAAGUCGGAAGUGAAAUGUGGCUGCUCAACGGCCACGCUGCUUCCGAUACUGCGGAUCUGGGGACCGGUAGAGGCUGGUGGAAUUGCAGGUGUAGCGGUGGAAUGCGUAGAGAUCUGCAAGAACACCCGUGGCGAAGGCGGCCAGCUGGGCCGGAUCCGACGCUGAGGCGCGAAAGCGUGGGGAGCAAACAGG
rnacentral:rRNA from 1 species